AACCUCUCGUCUUGGCGCUUUGAUGCAUGUGCGUGAAAGUGUAUGCUAGAAGAGAGGGAAAGUGUGUCAUGCCAAGUGGCGUGACAGUCGGAUGUCUUCGGUAUCGGCCGCACCUCAAGGCCGAUGUCAUCCUCUGCGUCCGAAACAGCU
rnacentral:snoRNA from 1 species